CGUUUGACAGAAAUACGCCAAUUAAUGGGCUUAUAUACCAUUCAAAUGAUGAAGGAAGCGGAAUCACUACGAUUUGACAUUAUUUAUGUAAGUGCUCGUCGUUCAUUUUGGAGACUACGAUUCAGUCAUUCACAGAUCGCGCACCUUUGAUAAUGGAAGGUUAAUCUCUUCGUUACCGUCUAAUCUUAUUUUUUGCACUUUAGUCAUUGCUGUACGCGAAAACAAUCUGUCGUCUUCGAUUCUUCAAGUGUGUGACGUCUUCUUUCUCCAAUUGAUCUAGAAACCCAUCCACUUCACUCCUCGAAACUGCGAGGUUUUAAAUAAACCUGUAAACGGUCUAUGACUCUUUACCUUGCUUGGGGUUUUUGGUCCAUGGCGCCGCAGCGGUGAGAUACGUCAAAGACAGCAAACACAGGCACGUAACACAGCACUGCUCGAACUCG